rnacentral:rRNA from 1 species
GCGGACGGGUGAGUAAUGUCUGGGAAACUGCCUGAUGGAGGGGGAUAACUACUGGAAACGGUGGCUAAUACCGCAUAACGUCGCAAGACCAAAGAGGGGGACCUUCGGGCCUCUUGCCAUCAGAUGUGCCCAGAUGGGAUUAGCUUGUUGGUGAGGUAACGGCUCACCAAGGCGACGAUCCCUAGCUGGUCUGAGAGGAUGACCAGCCACACUGGAACUGAGACACGGUCCAGACUCCUACGGGAGGCAGCAGUGGGGAAUAUUGCACAAUGGGCGCAAGCCUGAUGCAGCCAUGCCGCGUGUAUGAAGAAGGCCUUCGGGUUGUAAAGUACUUUCAGCGGGGAGGAAGGUGUUGUGGUUAAUAACCGCAGCAAUUGACGUUACCCGCAGAAGAAGCACCGGCUAACUCCGUGCCAGCAGCCGCGGUAAUACGGAGGGUGCAAGCGUUAAUCGGAAUUACUGGGCGUAAAGCGCACGCAGGCGGUCUGUCAAGUCGGAUGUGAAAUCCCCGGGCUCAACCUGGGAACUGCAUUCGAAACUGGCAGGCUUGAGUCUUGUAGAGGGGGGUAGAAUUCC